rnacentral:rRNA from 1 species
GACAGAGGUGCCAAGCGUUAGGCGGAAUCACUGGGCUUAAAGCGUGUGUAGGCGGAUUGGUAAGUACCUUGUGAAAUCCCACGGCUCAACCGUGGAACUGCUUGGUAUACUGCCUGUCUUGAGCCACUUAGGGGCUGUCGGAACAAGCGGUGGAGCGGUGAAAUGCGUAGAUAUCAUUUGGAACGCCAAUGGUGAAAACAGGUAGCUGGGGCUGUGCUGACACUGAGACACGAAAGCCAGGGGAGCGAACGGG